rnacentral:rRNA from 1 species
UACGUAGGGUGCAGGCGUUAAUCGGAAUUACUGGGCGUAAAGCGUGCGCAGGCGGUCUUUUAAGUCAGAUGUGAAAUCCCCGGGCUUAACCUGGGAACUGCGUUUGAAACUGAAAGGCUAGAGUGUGGCAGAGGGGGGUGGAAUUCCACGUGUAGCAGUGAAAUGCGUAGGAGAUGUGGAGGAACACCGAUGGCGAAGGCAGCCCCCUGGGCUAACACUGACGCUCAUGCACGAAAGCGUGGGGAGCAAACAGG